CUUAGACAGUCGUUGCAGCUGUCUUCUUCCCUCGAACCCGUGAAGCUUCUCCAUUUCUUUUUGGAACCCGAAAACCAAACUGUAAAAGGUAAAGAAAAGGAUAACUACACUCACGUUUCUAAUGAGUUUUUUACUGUUUUGAAAUGUUAAACAUCUGGACUUGAAAUUGCAUGAAAACUGAUCAGUGUGUGUGUCGAAGUUUGAUUUUUCUCG
rnacentral:lncRNA from 1 species